rnacentral:rRNA from 1 species
CCGAUGGCGACCGGCGCACGGGUGAGUAACACGUAUCCAACCUGCCGUCUACUCUUGGACAGCCUUCUGAAAGGAAGAUUAAUACCCGAUGGCAUAGUUCUUCCGCAUGGUAGAACUAUUAAAGAAUUUCGGUCAUCGAUGGGGAUGCGUUCCAUUAGGUUGUUGGCGGGGUAACGGCCCACCUAGUCUUCGAUGGAUAGGGGUUCUGAGAGGAAGGUCCCCCACAUUGGAACUGAGACACGGUCCAA